GGCAGCAGUGACCAUGGAUUGAAACAAAUUCCUUAAUUUUUUUUUUCUUCCCAAAUCUGUUGUGAAAUAGAGAGUUUCAAGUGCUCCCAGGAGGUGAUUAUUGCAGUGAGGAUGAAUUCCAUGGUGGAAAGGUCAUGUGACUGGAGUCCAUCAGGAGUCAGCCAUUUCCUGAUGUUCUAAGGAUGCCUUUUCAGAGGUUCUGCUGCAGAAGCACACAAGACCAACAUGCCUGCUUGGAGAAGUGUACUCAUUAGGAAUAUUCUUUCCCAGCUGUUAGCACUCUACAGUGGAUGGAUCCAUCUAAAGCAUCAUGUCCUUGAUGACCUUAUGGUAGAACUAAGGAAUGUCUUCAGAUAGGCAGAGUAAGUUCUUUGCAGUGUUGGUCCACAGGUAGAAGCCAAGCAGCGAUAUUAGUUAAUGGAGAUGUGGACUUGACAGUGUGGAAAGAGGCUUGGCACCUGAUGGAUGGAGAGUGAAUCCUGAGACUCCUCUACAUUACGCAUGUGCCUAUGGCCAGGCAGAAGUGGUGGCUUUUCUAGUAAAGAACAAAUGCGACAUUAACCUCUGUGACAGUGACAACAACACACCUCUGAUUAAGGCCAUCCAACAGCAAGAAGAAGAAUGUGCAACUAUUCUUCUAGAAAAUGGUGCAGAUGUAAAUGUUCAGGAUCCCAAUGGUGGAACUCCUCUCCACUAUGCUAUCUGUACUAACAACACAUCAGUGGUAGCAAAACUGCUUUUACAUAAUGCAAAUAUUGAAGCUCAAA